rnacentral:rRNA from 1 species
GAGGCAGGCGGAAUUCGUGGUGUAGCGGUGAAAUGCUUAGAUAUCACGAAGAACUCCGAUUGCGAAGGCAGCCUGCUAAGCUGCAACUGACAUUGAGGCUCGAAAGUGUGGGUAUCAAACAGGAUUAGAUACCCUGGUAGUCCACACGGUAAACGAUGAAUACUCGCUGUUUGCGAUAUACGGCAAGCGGCCAAGCGAAAGCGUUAAGUAUUCCACCUGGGGAGUACGCCGGCAACGGUGAAACUCAAAGGAAUUGACGGAA